ensembl:lncRNA
CUCCUCAGGCUGCUACACGUCUCCAUCUUGCACUCUCUGGCCACCCAACAGCUGAGCCACUCCUUGGCUGCCACUCUGAUACUCAAUGCCACCUUCCUCUGCUGAAGCAUAGGGCCAGCCUGGCGUCUUGCUGUCUGUGCUGUAACUGCUGUCUGAACGAAGGAGAAGAUCUCUGAUUUAUACCUGAGCAGUGCUGAAUGUUGUGGUACUGAAAAAGGAACCAUUUGCGUGUCAGCAUUAAAACCAAUCUGACGGACUGCGGAAGCAGAGUGGCCACAAAUUUUCUGUAAAUCUUCCAGGAUCCUGUAGAUCAAAGUCUCACAGUCAGAGAGUUCUUGAAUUGCUGCAGGGAGCAUGAUGAACACUGGACAGACGCAUCCCCUCAGGGGAGGACAGACAAGUCCUAAGCCGGCCAUAAAGGCUCCUCCUCAUGAACUGAGUAGAAUUGGGCUUUUAAUUUAUGGCUUUGCUGAAUGGGGCUCUGGAACAAACUCAGCUUCAUGUAUCAUCUGGCAAAUGAAAACAACAGAAGCACAGACCUACCCUAAUCCAAUUCAGCACUGGGGUAAGGAAGGAUGCUAUGGCACCAUAGCAAGGAGGGCAUAUUCCAUAGUGACCACUACUAAGAGAGUAUUGUUUGAGCCAGCUUGUUCAGAAAGAAAGAGUGGAAAAGAGGGAAAUUACUACUGAAUGCCAAAUCUACAAAUAACAGUAACAGAUACAGUACCGGAUCAAUAGCCCUGCAUCUCUCUUUGCAGGGCCAGAAUUGCUUCUGAUCUGUCUGCUCACAGCAGAACUGUUCCAGUUUUGUCAUGAAGAGCAAAGCUUGUACUAAUCAUACUCUGUAAUAGCCACAGCGGUUGUCCCUGGGUCUGCCAUUCACCAAAAUUUAAUCUUGAUUGCUGAGAAUUUUCAUUGCGUGUAGAAAGUUGUUCCACAUGAGAGCAAGCACUGACAAACAAAACAAAACAAACAAAAAAAACCCCUAUACUUCUUUAUAAUAUAUAUUAAUAAAUAUGUGUGUGUGUGUGUGUAUACAUGCUAAAGUAUCUUCUAGUAUAUCUUUUAGCACCCUAAUAUUUCAUAGUCUAAUACAUAGCAGUAACCUUUCCCAUACAGGAUGUGACCAGCAAAUGUAUUGGCGUUGCUGCUAAGAGCUCUGAAAUGUAACUGCAGUUGGAAGAGUUUGUAAAAACCCCAUGGUAUGAAACAAAAAUUUUCAGGCUUAAGCCCCAUAAAUUUCUUUCGUUGUUCUUUUUGCUGAGUGUACCCACCUAUAUGACUGACAGUAUAUGUGAUUAGGAGUUAAUUCUCAGACAUAAUGUUCAUAUCUCUUUGUGAAUGGUACUGAGUUCUUACAAAUCUUUUGAUUUGGAGAGGGAGAAAAUGAACUAUGGUGUAGCUAUACCCAUGCAAGUUGCUGCAGGCUGUCUGCAGGCUCAGGCCACUGCUGUCCUCAAAUGACUUUGAACCAGCCUGUCUACAAAAACAAAGUUAGUGUUCCACUGCAAGUCCUCUCAGUAGCAGAUACUCCUGCUUUGGCUUCAGGACAAGUUGCGUCUUGUGUCUCUGGUGUACAUGAUGUAUUGGUUUGCAUACAUAGGUGUUAGAGCUCUUUCUUGAAAAAAAAAAAUAGCUCCUCUGUAGGGCCUCACAGAGCUCUGUGGUAACCUUCUGGUGACCUUUUGUUUCUAAACAAGUGUUUUUGUGUAUGGAUGCAGUUUUUUUUUUUUUUUUAAGAAGCAUAUGCAAGUCUGAUGAUUUGCAAUUUCUUUUAUUAGCCUUGUACUAACCAUGACGGAAUGACCGGAAAUAAAGGACAUACAGUUCACACUGUAUCUUAUAGUUCCAUUAAGUAGACAAUGGGGAAGCAAUUUGAAGUAAGUGAUUUGUAAGGCAGUUAAUUUAAAACAUAAUUUCUUAGACAGCUUGGUGAAAUUCACCAGUAUGUUUUUAAAGAAAAAAAACAAACAUCAACAGCAACAAAAAUACAACUUGAUGAUGCUUUGAAGUUUGGUUCUUACCACAGUUUGAGUAGAUUAAAAUUUAAAUCUACUGUAAUCCCAAAAACUUGAGUGUAUUUGUGCACAUGUUGUGAAGGGGCAUGAUUUCUUUACGUGUGUACUCUUAUGGAUUAGCAUGUACAGGCACAACCCAGCCCGAUGUUCCUGUGUGACUAAUGAGUAUAGCCUCCUGACCUGUUUCAAUGACUGGGAGCUACCAGGCCUUCCUGUGCACAAACCAUGAUCAAAACUGAAGCUACAAGUUUGUGAUGCAUUUGGUUGACAGCUUACUGGUAGAGCAACCAGCUCUAAUUGCAUUCCGGUUACUCCUGAGUGCUCCUUUUCAAUCUAUCUAUCACGAUGCUGCCAAAGACAGAAAUAAGCUACAGAACUGCACAACGGCAGCAGUAUGUAUUUGAUAUUCUGACCCUUGCUUCCCCUUGCAGCCCUCCAUGGUACUCCCAAGUUCAAUCACCUGAUGUAGCACUUGAUCCUUAGCUCCUUUCCCCCACAGAUAAACACUGAAGCGGUAAUUCCUGCUGCAGGAAUGUUCUUUCAUAAAUGCUUUUGAAGUGAGGAAACCUGAUCUCUUUUAAGAUAAUAUAUUAUUAGUUAGAUUUCAUUGGAAGAGGAUCCUCUAUAAACCCUGCCUAUUGUUUUCUCUCCAGACUAAAAGUUCAGUCAACUGAAACCUCAGUCCUUGGGAGUGCUGGUGAUACUUUUAAUCAUAAGUGGAAUAUUUAGAAAACUUUUCUUUCGUCUAAUAAGACCAUCCCCUUCUCUGUCAGCUCAGCUGACUUAUGACACUUUCACAACUUGGAAAUAGCCUCAUGAUCUGCUGAUUUCUCUGUCAUGUCUUCCAGUAUUUGGUCUAAAUUAUCACUAGAUUAAUUAUCACUAAAUUAUCACUAUCACAAGAAAAUCUAACUAAAGCUUAUUUUGCUGAAGUCUGUGGUUUUUACUUUCAUAUAAAGUUGAAGGUGUCAGAACUAAUGUUUUUGAUGGUUCAGUAUUUACUUUAGUCCUGACCCAUGUAGUUCAUUAAGACUAGCUGAAAUAUAAAUGCUAUAGUUUACUGCAGCUAUAGUGUGGUUUUUUGAAUUUUUUUUUAACCUAUAAGAAAGGUAUCUAACUAUCAACAGACAGUUUUCGCAUUUGUUUUGAUCAAGAAGAGUUUCCAUGCAAUAACAUUAUUUUUUUGCCCCGUGAAAAACUAUUGACCUGUUCUGUCUUGCUACUCCAUAGGUCUAUGGUCAACAAAGGGAGUACAGUUGGACUGAUUAAAACUAUACUGACUGAUUACAACUAUACUAACUAUACUAUAAAAGUAUACUGAAGGUAUUUAUAUCCCAGUACCUGGGCCGGAGCAUCAAACAUUCCCCCAGAACAUAUGCAGUACCCACCCACCACAACUUCUAUGGUUGUAACCGGGUAGGCGGGCAAUUAUGCUGAAAUUGAGACAUCUGACCCGAUGCAAAUGUGGACUAUCCUACCAUAAAAACCUUCCCAUACUGAAGAUAGAAUGAUACAGAAACAACCCUAAACACCAAAAUUCACAAUUGCAGCCGAUUCUCUUACAGAAUGUAUAGCAGAAGUUCUAAAAGCUUAAACAUGGCUACUAUCAAAAACUUUGCAAAGGAGAAUCUGACUCCUACAUCACUGCAAGUUUAUAGGUUAUGUCUUUUUUUUAAUGACAGAAGAAGAGUCUUGUUGAAGGGGAAAGGCUUUUAGAGGAGAUGUAUAACCACAGAGAUAUUAAGUAAAGUUUCAAGUCUCCUUAUGGGCCUAAGCUGAAAACGUGAACUCAGGAGGUAUUAAAAAGAACUUCUGUUGAGGUCUCUGUUGUUUGGAAACAUUUUGCUCUCAAAUCUGUGCAGUGUAAAUUGCUUAUGAGGCUUUGUGGGCAGAUCUCAGCUGUUUAUUUUGCACACUGCUAAAUAUGAACUCUCAAGCCUUAGUAAAUCUACUUGCAAAUGUGCUUCGGAAACAUUUGUAAUUUUUUUCCUCUAAAUCUCCAUGUAAAAAGAAUUUCCAGACACAAACAACUGUCAGAGAAAAACAACUGUGAUUUGUUGGGGUGUGAAACUAGAGAGUGCCUAAAUUAUUUGCCUUUAUUAGAAAGCAUGUUGGCAAACAGACUGCACCUUUUAUGACCUCAGGAAGAAAUCUGCUUUAUUUCAUGCACAGUUAGCAGCUUACAGGAGAUAGUCUGCACAUCUCACCGACAGCUUUGGCAUUUGAUACAGGUUUUGCUUCAGACUGGGGGACAGAAGUGAAUUACACUACCACAAGAAUCAAUUUACACUUCACUCUUCUGAAAACUUCAGUGUCAGUGUCAUGUACAGAACAAUACCAGACCAGAGACAGUUGCUCAUUUUCCAUUUAUGAGCAACCAGAAUGAAGUUUCAUUCAUUUUGGACUUAAGCCAGUAGAAAAGAGCCUCUACAGUUGUUCACUGACAGUAUUCUCCAAGACUUUUUGGCUUGUGUAGGGCAAUGGUACUAAGCCAAAUGGUGAGAUUUCAAUUUGCUGGAUCCCACUGAAUGGCAGAAUGGGCUAGCUAGCUCAGGGCCUACUCACGCCUAUGCACUAAAGCAUUACAGAAGCAGCAGACUCUUCCCUGAAUAGACCAAAUGACCAGAUGAGAUUCAGCUGAGUCAUGAGGGAAGUCUAAACCACAGAAGUUCAUUCUCUUCAUUCAAAAGAGACGACUAAAAUAAAAAGGCCCCACUUCCAUCAUAGAAGCCUGGUUGCUACGCACAGUCCAUCAGAAACAAAAGCUCUACAACGCCCUAUGUAAUUAAUACUGUUGCAGCAGGUCGAUCUGUCACUCACAGAGUAUACUCCACUGUGGGGAGAAGCAGCAGCAAAGCAAACUUCAUCUGUCCCACAGAAGACAUUACCAAUAAACAGCAGCAGUUGCGAAAACCAGUGAGUGCCUACGUGGAUUUUGCCCAGCAAUUUGUAUAAUUGCCUGCUGAGCAGACGAAAUUAUUUUGCUUGGCUUCUGUGAGUCACGGAGCUGAUCCCUACCAUUUUCUGGAGCUCACCUGGCUAGAUGGUUAUGUCCUGGUCCUAUA